rnacentral:rRNA from 1 species
CCUACGGGUGGCAGCAGUGAGGAAUAUUGGUCAAUGGGCGCGAGCCUGAACCAGCCAAGUAGCGUGAAGGAUGACUGCCCUACGGGUUGUAAACUUCUUUUAUAAAGGAAUAAAGUGAGGCACGUGUGCCUUUUUGUAUGUACUUUAUGAAUAAGGAUCGGCUAACUCCGUGCCAGCCGCCGCGGUAAUACGGAGGAUCCGAGCGUUAUCCGGAUUUAUUGGGUUUAAAGGGAGCGUAGGUGGGUUUUUAAGCCUGUUGUGAAAGUGUUCGGCUCAACCGUAAAAUUGCAAUGGAUACUGGCGGGCUUGAGUACAGUUGAGGUAGGCGGAAUUCGUGGUGUAGCGGUGAAAUGCUUAGAUAUCACGAAGAACUCCGAUUGCGAAGGCAGCUUACUAAACUGUCACUGACGCUGAGGCUCGAAAGUGUGGGUAUCAAACAGGAUUAGAUACCCUAGUAGUC